rnacentral:rRNA from 1 species
GCUCGUAGUUGGAUCUCGGCGGACAGAAGUCGGUCCGAAUGCUUUCGGUMCUGGCUUGUUUGUCCGUGUGUUUUGCCAGAGGCAGGCGGGUGCUCUUCGCCGAGUGUCCGUUUGUGCUGGCAGGUUUACUUUGAAAAAAUUAGAGUGCUCAAAGCAAGCUCUCACGCUUGGAUAUUCGUGCAUGGAAUAAUAGAAUAGGAUGUCGUUUCUAUUUUGUUGGUUUUCGGAAAUCGACAUAAUGAUUAAUAGGGACAGUCGGGGGCAUUUGUAUUCAAACGACAGAGGUGAAAUUCUUGGACCGUUUGAAGACAAACUACUGCGAAAGCAUUUGCCAAGAAUGUUUUCAUUAAUCAAGAACGAAAGUUAGAGGUUCGAAGGCGAUUAGAUACCGCCCUAGUUCUAACCAUAAACGAUGCCAGCUAGCGAUCUGCAGGCGUUUUUCUUUACGACCUUGCAGGGAGCUUCCGGGAAACCAAAGCUUGUGGGUUCCAGGGGAAGUAUGGUUGCAAAGCUGAAACUUAAAGGAAUUGACGGAAGGGCACCACCAGGAGUGGAGCCUGUGGCUUAAUUUGA